AAAGUAAAAAAAAAAAAAAAAAAAAAAAGCAGACGGAAGGGCUUUAUUCGACCCGUCUUGUAACACGGACCAAGGAGUCCAGCAUAUACGCGAGUGCCUGGGUGGAAAACCCUAGCGCGUAGCGAAAGCACAGGAACUUUGCAUUUU
rnacentral:rRNA from 1 species